UGAAACAUGAACUAACAACCUAUAUACAAACACAUAUGAACAAUACCCCCAAACUUGACCUAUACAAUGCCCUUCAUUGUAAAUAAAUAAAUAUAAAAGAUCAGAACUAAGGAAUUCCCUGACCGGAAGAAUUAUCCUCAUCUUCCGCGUCAUCGUUAGGUGAAUCCUGUGAUGGGGGACAUCUCCAUAUACCAAAAAUUAAAUUGGAGCACCGGUAAUUGAACCAAAAGCUUGGGAUAACGUAGUGGAGAACUGGGCGUUGAAAGACAUCAUCUCAUCUUUACGUCAUGCAAUAACAUCAAUUCUCUUUUUCAACCGUCGCUCUAUUCGAGCCAAUCUAGUCUGGAAUGCAUCAUAACCCAUAGGCAGAUCUCCCUCGGGCUGCUCCUGUGCCUCAACCCUCGGCUGCGCCUCCCUACCUUGUUGUUGUGGCAAGAUAAAACCAGCACCUCUCGGGUGGGAAACACCUCCUUCCCACACUUUGUAUUAUUGUAUUAUGGCAUGGUCUAUCACUGCCAUGGGCGCUUGGAUGGGCUCAUUCACAUUCCAUUGCAUCCCUGCCGCUAAGCAAAGCCUUGUGAUCAUUGAAGCAUGGGGGAUACCUUCCGAAUUGUUGCCCAUCAAGUAUCUUAUAAUAGAGGUAUUGAUGAUCAUUCUCACGUCAACCCUAUUUCUCAUCACUAUGCCAUAUAACACUAUUGCAUGAUCUUUGGUGUCGCCGUUUUGAUGCCUAGUUGGCACAGAUGAAACGGUACCACGUCUUCCCAUGUCAGCUUACUGCAGUGUGUGGGAAGCUAAUCUUUUCAGUCGUUCCUUGCUUUAUGGUCCAUGUUGUACCUGCCUUGCAUAGCAAUUGACUCACGUCAUUCGAUUCAUAUCUCCUUGAGUAGAGCCAAUCCGGGUUAUUUUCUUGUAUGUUUGGCAAGUUGAAUCAAAUCCUGCCUGUAAAUCUAUAAAUUCAUACUCCACAUGAUUGAAUAAUGAUUUCACAUCAUCAACGCCCAUAGGUAAUUAACCUUUUUCUAACACAGAGAGCCGAGAUUUUAUGUCGAAGAUUUCAGUUUUCAAGCUCUAUUUGUUUGUCAGGAUUUGGUUCAAGGGUGCUAUGAUUUCUGGAGAAGCGGAGGAGACUGGAGGUGGAUUACAGGAAGAGGGUUUUGUAGGGGUAAGAUUAGGAGGGAUCUCGGUAGGAAUUCAGACAAACUGUCCAUCAACAAGAGACACAUGAUUGGGUUCUUUAGGUGAGGGGUCGACCGGUGUCCUAUACAUUCACAUAAUCUAUUUUCCUUUUAUUAGUUUUUUCAAUUUGUAAAAUAUUUUCAUGUAAUUCAAGUACAUAAAAUCCAUCAAUUAAUCUACUAGUUCCAAACAAAAUAAUCUCAUUAUAAAUAGAACAACUAUUGUUCUUUAUUAUAAUAUUAAAACAUUCAUUGUCCAACAACGGAAUUAAAAUAAUGUUUCUAAUAAGAAUUGAAACAUAAUAACAAUUUACUAAAUUAAUUGAUUUGCCAAAAGACAAUGCUAAACAAUAAGUUCAUACGGCUAAUGCAACAACCUUUUCUUCAUUCCCCGCACGCAAGGUUACUUCACAUUUCUUCAACAUUCUACUUCUUCUUAGGCCCUGCAAAAAAUUGCAUAUGUGAGAACCACAGUCGGUAUCCAAUACCCAAGUAGAACUUUGACUUACAGAAAUAUUUAUUUCAAUAAUGAACAAACAUGUAUCUGUAGCUGAAGCAUUUCCAAGCUUCUUUUGCUUAUGGUCUACAAGAUACUCCUUCUAAUUUCUCUUCCAAUGUUCAGGUUUGUUGCAGUGGAAGCAAAAUCCUUUGCUAUCAGCAUCAGCCUUUUUCCUGUCAUUAGUUUUUGUCUUUCCUUUUUCCCUCUUGGAAUUUUUCUUCUUUUCAAAAGAUCCUUUGGCCUUCUUCCGCUUCCUAGAAGAAUCAUCUACAGACAAGAAUUGGGUUUUCUUCAUUAGAAAGUGACUCUCAGUAGUUUUCAACAUGUUAAGCAAUUGACAUCAAGCUUGUUCAUGUAAAAAUUCACAACAAAUUAUGAAAAGGAGUCCGGAAGUGACUACAAUAUCAGAUUUGGGCCCAGUUGUCCCAAUUGUUCAAUCAGAUUGAUCAUCUUUAGGACAUGUGUUUGCACUGUAGUGUCAUCAGUCAUUCUAGAUUGAAAAAUAUCUUUAGAUAUUUUAUAUCUAGCCGACCUACUUUGCUCACCAUACAAAUCCUGAAGGUGCAUCAACAUAGUAGAAGCAUCCAUUUUCUCAUGUUGACGCUAUAACUCGUUACUCAUGGAUGUUAACAUGAUGCACUGAGCCACCUGUGCACCAUCUUGCUACUUUCUAAAAGUAGCAACUCUUCCUCGUAGGCAUUUUCUGUAGUUAUUGCAGGAACAAGCGUGUUAAGGACAUAUGUUAGUUUUUCAGUCGUGAGAACUAUUUUCAGAUUCCUUAACCAAUCCGUAUAAUUUGGUUCAGUUAAUUUGUUAGCAUCAAGUAUGCUUCUCAGUGAUAGUGAAUUAGACAUUGUAAAAUUCUGCAAAUGAAAUUUAAUUGAUGCAUUGAGCCACUUGUGCAUCAUCGUACCACUUUCUAAAUGUAGCAAGCUCUUCCUCAGAGGCAUUUUCUGCAACUAUUGCAGGAACAUGCGUGUUAAGGACAUGUGUUAGUCUUUCAGUCAUGGGAACUAUUCUCUGAUUCCUUAACCAAUUUGUUUAAUUUGAGCCGGUUAAUUUGUUAGCAUCAAGUAUAAUUCGCAGUGAUAGUGAAUUAGAAUUCUGCAAUUAAAAUUUAAUUGAAAACAUUAGCAUGAAUUCUUUUAUUAAUCACCAAAUUAAUUUAGUUUUUUAUUAAAAUGAUGUCUCUCACUAUUUUCUUCAAACUAUAUAACCAUGUUUCUAUACAGUUCAACAGAUUUUGUAUUUGUGACUUUGUAAAAUCUACUUAGUGAGAAAGGAUCCAAUUAGAUUAAAUAUAUAGCCUUCUAUGUGCACAACAAAUUAUAUAUUUAUUCAAAAGGUAGACAACUCUUGUCAAUUACAUCUCUAUGUAAUUCCAUUAUAAUUUUGCCUCUUGGAUAAUAAUGGGCAUGUGUGUGCACAUCUAAACUAAAAUCGUCUAAGUUAAGUUAGACCCAGUAUUUUCAUAUAAUUGAAGAGAAAAAUAUAUCCACAUGUUCUUAACCGAACCUUUUGGCUGAGCAGAUACAUCAACCGUUGAUUUUCCUGUUUUAAGACUGUCUUUCUGGUUGCCAUCACUCUUGGACCAGUUUCUUGUGAUUGAAAAGAUUAGCACUAAAGAUGCCCUCCUUCUAGCACUAAUGUUAACGCCAAGAUUCGUCCACGCGACUCGAUCAUCAAAAGCGCGUUCAAUCUUACACAGAAACAAAAUCACACACGUAGUUUGACGGCUUAGACCGUCGGGGGAUAGCUCUAGUGUGAGAAUAUAUACAGGCUGAAUAAUAUUUAACAAUGGAGACUUUGUGCAAUAGUUCUGUAAAAUAAUAAUGAAUUGUGUGUACUUGAAGAUUAUGGUAUAGCCUUGUAUUUAUAGUGAUCACAUAUUCUUUCUCAUAUAGAAAUAGGAUUCCUCAUUAGGUAUGAUUCCUUAAUGGGAUCAAACUGAAUCUCCUUAAAGAAAGGAAGUCAGAUCAUAUCCUGACACUUUCCUUAGGAUUUAGAAAUUAAAUGUAACUAUGAAUCUUUGAUUCCUUAAAAUACUCAACUAUCCAAACAAAUUCCUACGCAGGGAAAUACUUCCACAUGGACUUUGGCCCACCAUACAAUUUGGACUCUAAUAUUCACUCCCCAACAAUUACUAAUAUUUAUUUGGCAUAAUGAGCUUUAAGGUUUCAUAAUCUUGAUGGAUAAUUUUGACUCUUAGCUAUUUUAUAAAUAAAAUAGUUAGGCUUUGAUUCCAAUUAUCGUGUCAAGAAUUAUAUACACCUAUACAUCAAUCCUAAGAUUGAGAAAGACAAUAGAAGAUUUUCACCCUUUAGCGUAACAGAAGUGUGAUACAUACAAGAUAUUUUCUCUCAAUUUAUGUAAGUACCUAAUGUAAUGAUUAAUUUAAUUAAUUUAUUCUAUGAAAUAAUUAAUAACUUUCCAAUAUAGUUUAUUUAACAGUUUCUCCUUCACUACACAUGAAGAAGCCUCUGUGCAAGGUAUAAACAUUUUCACUGAUGCUCAUCAAUUUAUCAUGGUCCUAUAAAGCAAUUUGCAUAAUCCUUUUAAAAGAUCUCUUUGUUAUAAAAUUAUACAUAGUGUUUGAAUGUCUAGAUACAUUCCUACCCAUGUCUAGAUACAUUCAUACCCCCUCUUUAUUGUAAUGACCUUUGAGCUUUGUAACUCUCAUAUCAUUUAAGCUUUGAAACUCCUAUGACUUAUGAGUUUUGAAACUUCCAAGUAUUUAUGUACAUGUGCUUAUAAAUAGAAGUAUUGUCAAUGAAAUGGAGGAGAUAUAUAAAUACAAUGAGAAUGUUCUCUCUUAUUUCCACUAAUCAUCAUUGUUCUUAAUAUUUUGUAUAAUCUUUUAUAACACGUUAUCAACACGAUUCUCUACCCAAUUUUGGGAAUUUUGGGAAGAAAAAAAAAUGUUCUCUCAACUCACUGCAAGUAUUGUUUCAUUACAAUUAAAUUUGAUAUACAUAUAAACAUUUUGUUUAAAUAAAGACGCAUGAGACAAUAAUGAUAAUGGACAACUCUGAAGUUUCAAAGAAUACAAAUUACGUAAGUACACUACUUUUGUGAUGUAGUAGUAUUAGUAUAAACAAAUAAUCAUUCCACCUCCCAAUUCUCCCACUUUGAAAGUGACUAGAGAAUGGUAAAUAUUUGUAUUGUCUUCUUAUAAAUUUAAACUUAGUUAUUUAAUUUCUUACGUAUUUAUAUAUUUAUAUAGAUGUCAAAUCUUAUGAAUUUGAAUUUGUUGUCCUUGAUAUAUAUCGAGAGAGAAUGACUUGUCAUGGACUCUUGAUAUUGAUAUUCAUAUAACGACAACUUUGGAGAUAUAAUUAAGAUUGACAAACAUGCAUCCCUGCAGGAUCAUGCAAAAUCGAUUAUUUUUAUUCGUCAUCAUCUCCAUGAAAAAAAUAUUGAUAAAGACAUGUUAGAAAAAAUAUUUACUAUAUAUCAUGACUCGAAUAUACUCCUGCAGUAGAAAAAUUGUGAGUUUAAGUUCAUAAUAUAUUCCCUGAAGUGAUAAAGGAAAUUAUAUUUCUAGAAGUGAUAUCAUUUCUUCUAGUGGUUGAACAAAUAAUGAUUUUUUGCUGAAAAAUUACCAAUCUUGUCCGACCAAUUCUACUUCAUUCCCUUAAGUGAAUGGAACCUCAUUUGAUAAACAUAGAGAAAAUUAUGGUUGUGGUCGUGGGCGUGAAAUGAACAAUCAAUAUAGAAAAGAGAAUGUACAUGUUGUACUUCUAAAUAUUUGGUAAAUUUGUACCAAGACUCCAUAAAAGAAAAAGAAAUAGAAUUGAAAUAAACUUUAUUGAUCAUAAUGAUCCCGAAGAUCCCAUGAAUUAUUUUGACUUUUCAAAUGGAGUGGAAAUAACUAAUUUUGAUAUCUAUGAUUUCCUUGAUGAUGUUGAUAGAAAAUUAGAAAUGUUCAUACCAAUUAAUUAUUUUUAUUUCAUUAUAUUAUGGCAUUAUAAUAAGUAUUUUUAUUAUAUGUUUUAUUUAGGUUUCAAGUAAUAAAGUUAAAUUUAUGUUUUUGCAUAGAUAAAGAUGUAUGGGCCAAAAGCUCAUCAAACUCCAACGAAGCCUUAACUCAACUCAAGCUUCUUGAAAGUUUUAACUUUCUUCACGACUGACUUUAUCUCAUCAGCGUGGCUCUUCUUGAUGGGAGGAUCUAACUCAAACUUGACAGAUUUUUGCUUGUCAAAUUCUUUCACAACCGCUUUGUAUCUUGGCUACGAGCUAUCACUUUCUUUCUUCACUUUUGGUACCCAUUUAAAGUGAAGAGUUUUCUUCUAAUGGUUCUCAUGCAAGGCUUUUUUCCCAUCUUGCAUGGCUUGUACCACAUCUUUUUUUGCCCAACUCCCCCAUCUUCAACACCUUCCACAUGCACAUGCAUCGUGGAAAUAGUGUCUAUCUUCUUUCCUUUAGUCACCACUAGAGACCUUUUAGUGAGGUUCUAUCUCUUGCGAAACAUGGUGGAACAAACUUUGAUCAAUCCACAUCUCAUUAUGAAUUGAUCAUCUUUUCUUCAAUCACCGCGGAUCACCAAUUCUCGGCUAACCAUUCUCGGAACCAAUUCUUAGCUAACACAUCAAGAAUUCAAUAUCACCAUCAAAAGCACCUCAAGGGAAACACAAACCCUUCAUCAAGAAUUCACCAUGUCAUCGUGUAUUCUUUUGAAGAGACUAAUUUAACCAUGGCUCUAACUGAUUCCUCCAUACAAUUUAUCAAAAACAACUACGCAAAUAACCUUAGCUCUAAUACUAGUUGUUGGGAAAAAAUCACCUCCCAAAUACUGUUGUCUUUGAUAAAUUAGAUAUCAGUAUAUGCCAAACAGAUUAAAUUUACAGUUCCACCAAAAUAAUAACCACUGCAGGAAAUAAUGAGUAGAAAAUAUCCAAUCACGAGACACCAAGAUUUUUACGUAGAAAACCCUCUAAAACUAAGAGGUAAAAAUCACGAGACAAACUCCGAAGAAUUCACUAGAAUAAUAUGAGAGAAUACAAAGAUAUAUUAAUUUGAGUACAAACCCAAAUUAUUUCACCAUAAUAACUAUGUGAUGGAACCCAAAUAAAACACCAUUUUAUUUGAACUAUCUUUCUCUCUCUAUUUUUGUAAAGCUUUAGAAAAACUUUCUUCCACCCUUUUCCGGAUGUGAUUACUUUCAUCCAUUCUCCCCGGAUGGGAUUUUUCUCACCCACCUUUUUUCUCUCUACUCUCGGAUGAGAGCUUGUAUUUUGGUGUGUAUUAUCCCUCAACAUUUGGAUUCCUUUUAUAGCAAAAUCGGGAAGGGAGGGAGUGGAAAAAGAGCACGCCAAAAUUAAGGGGCUGGGACAUGGAAAAUUCAAAGGGCCAAGGACGGUGGAAAAAGGGGAGGCUAAUGGGUGAGGAUUGUUGACCAACAAUAACGCCCCACCAAAAAAAAAUAAAACAUAUCCGCUAGAAAUACUAGCUGAUGGCAGAUCAUGUUCCUGAAUAACAAAGAGUAGUUGAAUAAAGUUUCUUAGCUUUUGAGUUGAUAUAUAUUUAACUCCAAGUUUUACAUUAUUAUUAUAUACUUUCAGGCUCUUAAAGAAUUAUACACUCAUUUGACACCCAUUCAACGCCUCAAUAUUGCUCUGACAUCCAAA
rnacentral:lncRNA from 1 species